ACUGCCCUUAGAGGCAAUGCAGGUGUGGCUGCUGUGUCACAUGAGUGUCAGUAGGUGGCAGAGAGGAGAGAGGUUACUUCUGUGCUCAGGGUUCUGACCUGGGAACACCUGAAUGCUGGGUAGCCUAAAACU